rnacentral:rRNA from 1 species
GUACAACUCUGUGCGGUGGAUCACUCGGCUCGUGUGUCGAUGAAGAGCGCAGCCAACUGUGUGAAUUAAUGUGAACUGUAACCUGCUAAGAACAUCGACAUCUUGAACGCAAAUUGCGGCCGUAGCUCCGUCUAUGGCCACGCCUGUCCGAGGGUCG